UACGUAGGGUGCAAGCGUUGUCCGGAAUUAUUGGGCGUAAAGAGCUCGUAGGCGGUUUGUUGCGUCGGCUGUGAAAUCCCGAGGCUCAACCUCGGGUCUGCAGUCGAUACGAGCAAACUAGAGUGUUGCAGGGGAGACUGGAAUUCCUGGUGUAGCGGUGAAAUGCGCAGAUAUCAGGAGGAACACCGGUGGCGAAGGCGGUUCUCUGGGCAUGUCCUGACGCUGAGGAGCGAAGUGUGGGAGCGAACAGG
rnacentral:rRNA from 1 species